rnacentral:rRNA from 1 species
AGCGUAGGCGGACAUUUAAGUCAGGGGUGAAAUCCCGGGGCUCAACCUCGGAAUUGCCUUUGAUACUGGGUGUCUUGAGUAUGAGAGAGGUGUGUGGAACUCCGAGUGUAGAGGUGAAAUUCGUAGAUAUUCGGAAGAACACCAGUGGCGAAAGCGACACACUGGCUCAUUACUGACGCUGAGGCUCGAAAGCGUGGGGAGCAAACA